rnacentral:ncRNA from 1 species
CUAGCUGGUUCUCCCUGAAAUGCGUUGAGGUGCAGCAGUUGACUGGACCAUCUAGGGGUAAAGCACUGUUUCAGUACAGGCCGUGAGAGCGGUACCAAAUCGAGGCAAACUCUAAAUACUAGAUUGCCCCAAUAAAAGGGGUAAAGAUCAGCCAGUGAGACAAUGGGGGAUAAGCUUCAUCGCUGAGAGGGAAACAUCCCAGAUCAUCAGCUAAGGCCCCUAAAUGACCGCUCAGUGAUAAAGGAAGUACGAGUGCAAAGAUAUCCAGGAGGUUUGCCUAGAAGCAUCCAACCUUGAAAGAGUACGUAAUAGCUCACUGAUCGAGCGCUCUUGCGCCGAAGAUGAAUGGGACUAAGCGAUCUGUUGAAGCUUUGGGAUGUAAAAAUACAUCAGUAGGGGAGCGUUCUGCCUCAGAGGGAAGCACCGGCGCGAGCAGGUGUGGACGAAGCAGAAGCGAGAAUGUCGGCUUGAGUAAUGCAAACAUUGGUGAGAAUUCAAUGCCCCAAAAACCUAAGGGUUCCUCUGCAAGGUUCAUCCAAAGAGGGUGAUUCAGGGCCUAAGAUCAGGCCGAAAGGAAUAGUCGAUGGACAACAGGUUAAUAUUCCUGUACUACCCCUUGUUGGUCCCGAGGGAUGGAGGAGGCUAGGUUAGCCGAAAGAUGGUUAUCGGUUCAAGGAUGCAAGGUGACCCUUCUUUUUUCAGGGUAAGAAGGGGUAGAGAAAAUUCCUCGAGCCAAUGUCUGAGUACCAAGCGCUACAGCGCUGAAGUAACCCAUGCCAAACUCCCAGGAAAAGCUCGAACGACCUUUAACAAAUGGGUACCUGUACCCAAAACUGACACAGGUAGGUAGGUAGAGAAUACCUAGGGGCACGAGACAACUCUCUCUAAGGAACUCGGCAAAAUAGCCCCGUAACUUUGGGAGAAGGGGUGCCUCCU